AUUUAAUUGGUAGGAGAGCGUUCUUAUCAGCGAUGAAGGUAUACCGUGAGGAGUGCUGGAGCGAUAAGAAGUGAGAAUGCCGGUAUGAGUAGCGCAAGACAGGUGAGAAUCCUGUCCACCGUAAGACUAAGGUUUCCAGGGGAAGGCUCGUCCGCCCUGGGUUAGUCGGGACCUAAGGAGAGGCCGAAUGGCGUAUCCGAUGGACAACAGGUUGAUAUUCCUGUACUAGGUUAUAUAGUGAUUGGAGGGACGCAGUAGGCUAAGGUAAGCCAGUUAAUGGAUUCUGGUCUAAGCAGUGAGGUUUGGUAUGAGUCAAAUGCUUGUACCUCUAAGAUUGAGCUGUGAUGGGGAAGCACUUUCGAGUGCGAAGUACCUGAUGUCACACUGCCAAGAAAAUCUUCUAGCGUUUAAUUAUAACCUACCCGUACCGCAAACCGACACAGGUAGUCGAGGCGAGUAGCCUCAGGUGAGCGAGAGAACUCUCGUUAAGGAACUCGGCAAAAUGACCCCGUAACUUCGGGAGAAGGGGUGCUCUACAUUUGUAGAGCCGCAGUGAAUAGGCCCAAGCGACUGUUUAUCAAAAACACAGCUCUCUGCUAAAUCGUAAGAUGAUGUAUAGGGGGUGACGCCUGCCCGGUGCUGGAAGGUUAAGAGGAGUGCUUAGCGUAAGCGAAGGUAUGAAUUGAAGCCCCAGUAAACGGCGGCCGUAACCAUAACGGUCCUAAGGUAGCGAAAUUCCUUGUCGGGUAAGUUCCGACCCGCACGAAAGGCGUAACGAUUUGGGCACUGUCUCAACGAGAGACUCGGCGAAAUUUUAGUACCUGUGAAGAUGCAGGUUACCCGCGACAGGACGGAAAGACCCCAUGGAGCUUUACUGCAAGUUGAUAUUGAGUAUCUGUUGCACAUGUACAGGAUAGGUAGGAGCCAUUGAUCUGAGGACGCUAGUUUUCAGUGAGGCGAUGUUGGGAUACUACCCUUGUGUCAUGGCUACUCUAACCCGCAUGCCUAAUCGGCAUGGGAGACAGUGUCUGCUGGGCAGUUUGACUGGGGCGGUCGCCUCCUAAAGAGUAACGGAGGCGCUCAAAGUUUCCCUCAGCAUGGUUGGAAAUCAUGCGUAGAGUGUAAAGGUAUAAGGGAGAUUGACUGCGAGACUUACAAGUCGAGCAGGUACGAAAGUAGGACUUAGUGAUCCGGUGGUACCGCAUGGAAGGGCCAUCGCUCAACGGAUAAAAGCUACCCUGGGGAUAACAGGCUUAUCUCCCCCAAGAGUUCACAUCGACGGGGAGGUUUGGCACCUCGAUGUCGGCUCGUCGCAUCCUGGGGCUGUAGUCGGUCCCAAGGGUUGGGCUGUUCGCCCAUUAAAGCGGCACGCGAGCUGGGUUCAGAACGUCGUGAGACAGUUCGGUCCCUAUCCGUCGCGGGCGUAGGAAAUUUGAGAGGAUCUGCCCUUAGUACGAGAGGACCGGGGUGGACUUACCGCUGGUGUACCAGUUGUCUUGCCAAAGGCAUCGCUGGGUAGCUAUGUAGGGAACGGAUAAACGCUGAAAGCAUCUAAGUGUGAAACCAACCUCAAGAUGAGAUUUCCCAUUCUUUAUGAAUUAAGAGCCCUGAGAGAUGAUCAGGUAGAUAGGCUAGAAGUGGAAGGACAGUGAUGUUUGGAGCGGACUAGUACUAAUAGCUCGAGGACUUUACCU
rnacentral:rRNA from 1 species